UACGUAGGGUGCGAGCGUUAAUCGGAAUUACUGGGCGUAAAGCGUGCGCAGGCGGUUUUGUAAGCCAGAUGUGAAAUCCCCGGGCUUAACCUGGGAAUGGCAUUUGGGACUGCAAGGCUUGAGUGCGGCAGAGGAGACUGGAAUUCCUGGUGUAGCAGUGAAAAUGCGUAGAUAUCAGGAGGAAUACCGAUGGCGAAGGCAGGUCUCUGGGCUGACACUGACGCUCAUGCACGAAAGCGUGGGGAGCAACAG
rnacentral:rRNA from 1 species